rnacentral:rRNA from 1 species
CUCAAAAGAAGCAGAGGGGGCUUAGUGGUGGGGUGACUGCGUACCUUUUGUAUAAUGGGUCAGCGACUUAUAUUCUGUAGCAAGGUUAACCGUAUAGGGGAGCCGGAGGGAAACCGAGUCUUAAUUGGGCGUUAAGUUGCAGGGUAUAGACCCGAAACCCGGUGAUCUAGCCAUGGGCAGGUUGAAGGUUGGGUAACACUAACUGGAGGACCGAACCGACUAAUGUUGAAAAAUUAGCGGAUGACCUGUGGCUGGGGGUGAAAGGCCAAUCAAACCGGGAGAUAGCUGGUUCUCCCCGAAAGCUAUUUAGGUAGCGCCUCGUGAAUUCAUCUCCGGGGGUAGAGCACUGUUUCGGCUAGGGGGCCAUCCCGGCUUACCAACCCGAUGCAAACUGCGAAUACCGGAGAAUGUUAUCACGGGAGACACACGGCGGGUGCUAACGUCCGUCGUGAAGAGGGAAACAACCCAGACCGCCAGCUAAGGUCCCAAAGUCAUGGUUAAGUGGGAAACGAUGUGGGAAGGCCCAGACAGCCAGGAUGUUGGCUUAGAAGCAGCCAUCAUUUAAAGAAAGCGUAAUAGCUCACUGGUCGAGUCGGCCUGCGCGGAAGAUGUAACGGGGCUAAACCAUGCACCGAAGCUGCGGCAGCGAACGUAUCACUUAAAGCGAUUCAGCGGGUUACGAUUGACGGAGCGAAGCGACGUCAAAGCGUAUACAAAGUCGAGUCGGUUUAAGGAUACGUUCGUUGGGUAGGGGAGCGUUCUGUAAGCCUGUGAA